GGAGAGCCGACCCGGGCGGAGGCUCGCCUUGAUUCCAGAGCUGGACCCUGGGACUGGAACAGCUUCUCGCCAACGUGCGCAAGAAAAACCGUGGGAGGUAGGACACCGGGGAGAUCUCAGGAUGCACCUCUUACAUCGUAGCCGCCCAGCGACCCAGUAACUUCGAUCGCACAGGGCUCGGGAACGUUUUCUGGCGAAUGGAAUACUCACAAACCUCCAAGGCUCAGAGAGCUUUUGGUUUUAGUAAAUAGCGGAGGUGCGCUGGAGUUUCCCACAGGACUAGAGCCUUCCUACAGGUGUUCAGUCUGGGGCCAUUCGCUGGUGACUUAGGUUGGAGUGAGGGCAGGGCCAGAAAAUCGUCUCACCAGUCACAGAGCUUAGGACAGUGAUGAUGAUGAUGGGUGUGAAGCCUCUCUCCCCUGGGGGGUCUGGAUUGAAAUCUAGGGUGUAUGCAAUUUGAAAAAUAGCAUAUCCAAUAUUAUAAUUUAAUGCUUUGAGGCGAAUAAGAUUUUUAUUUGUAAAAACAUUGGAGAACAAAAUUUAGAUACUUUUUGAUUGACUGAUAGGAUGACAGGUUGUCUUGCCUUUCCCAGGAAGAGGUAAUUUUUUCCCCCUUUAAGAUCAAAAGAAGGAAAGUUUUGAGGCACUGAGGGCUCUUCUAGGAUGUGACCUAGAUAUUGCACAGUAAAAUGCAUGCUCUGGGCCAGUGGCAGGUCAAGGCUUUCCUUCCCCCACUCUGGACGUGCAGUGGGUAUUGAAACUAAGAGAUGGGAUCCCUGAUGUUGGAAGUCCUGGUUAGGCCCGAAGUCACACUUCCAGGUCUGGCUGUACCCUUCAGGUUUAGGGUGGCCUGGCAGAGGAUGCUAAUGUUGGCCUGGGCUGAAAUUAAAAUGAAUGAGUGGGUGAAUCAGUGUUAGUGGUGGAAGAGGUCUUUGGGCUCAUUACUUCUAGUCUUUACAGAUGAAGAAAAUGAGCCUCUGAAGAGAAAGACUUUUUUGAGGUUACACAGUUAACUGUGUGACAGCCACAACCAGGACUGGGGCCCAAUCUCUCUUGACCCGGUGGCUUCCCCACCACACCAUGUCUAGAAGGUAUUUCAAGAGAUGGAAUUGGUACAUGCAUGGGCAGAAUUCAAAUGCAGAGCAAGGGAAGGUGGAAAGAGUAGUGAGAUGGUGGUCUGAUGUGCCUGUGGCUUGGGCCCCUGCCUGCAGGAAGCAAUCCAAGGCCUGCUGGCAGGCACAGGGAAGGACUUGAGGCAGUAAAAUGGUGCCUGUUCUGAUCACCUGUUGGGUUAGGGCUCUUAGCCCUCGACAAAAGGUGAUAUGAGACCUGCAGCCAGGCAGUAGGACAGUCCACUUGCCAAUACAGUUCCUCAUUCAAGUUUGUGUUGGCRCUCAAGUUAAAAAGUCAUCCUUUAUUUCUUCCCCCUCUUCCACCAAAAAUAAAUAGAAGAGCCCAAGUGCUCUGGGACUCCCACAGAAGCCUGGCAGGUUUGCUGACACUGAACUUGAGCUCUUACCAUGAGAAUGCAGGCCCCAGAGUGGUAUGAAGAUUAUUAUUCUAUAAAUGGAAAAUUCCACCGUGAUCCUGCAGCCUGCAUACCUCCAAGGGAUACAGACUUUUUGAGUUCUGAAGAGUGGGAACCAUCAUUCUGAGAAAAAGUUCAGCAAGGAAAGUUUAAAACUACUGUUUCUGCUCCCUCUGGGUCAGGCCCAACGAAGGAAGGCAAACAAAUGGAGACCUUCUUUCUUGCCCCACAUGGUUCUUAUGUGAUGGAAUGAAGAGAAUAGGAACUUGGAUAUGAACUUGAAUAAGAACAAAUGCCUUGCUGGGGACUUGCAGCCUGAGUGAGUGGGCAGUGGUGACAGGACAGAAAUGCCCCAGAAAGAAGUGGAAGGAACAAGUGUGUUCUGGAGUCUGGCCACGUGCUAUUUCCGGGGCUGCUCACCUUGCUUGUUGUCACCGUUGCCCACUGUCAAGCAGGCAWUUGGCCCAAAAGGAAAGUCUGAAAGUGGAAGCAAAGCAUGAAGAUGUUUGUCACGGGCACRUGCUGGGCAUAGUACCCUGGAAGCCUUUGCUGUUAGUCACCAUAGAAGGGGCAAAGUGGCAGCUGCUCCAGCUCUGGGAGUCUGGAACAAAACAGGUGGAAGUAGCCAGGGUGUGGACAUUUCUCCAGAGGACACCCUCAGACAGUCAAGGCAAGAAGACAGUUCCCUGGGAAGGUUCUGGGUGAUGGAGUUGCCUUUCAGGAUGCUGGAUGCAUUGUCAGGGCCCAUCGCGUCCAGUUUGGAUGCAGGAUGUCAGAUUCCAGGUGCGACGGAGCUCCUGUCUUCUCGUUGCUGCUUCGUCUGCCAUGGAAGCCUGACAGCGAUGGCCUCCCUUGUCCCGGAGACUCAGCCAGAUGGCCUCUGCAGGGACCUCGCCCACCUGCCAGCAUGUCUCGGUAGCUACACUUGCCCAGGGGUUGCCAGCACCGGACACCUGGGGGGGCGUCCAGCCAGGACCUGGUGGUGCUAACGUCAUUCUCAGAAUAGCCCACCCAGGAGUCCUGUCCUCUGGGCUUCUUCACCUCUCCCUCUGCACCCACCUGCCACCCCCAGGUUCAGCAGAGUGACAGCCCUGGGGAGGAGAGAGUCAAAGCACAGCGAGGAGGUGCCUGAGCUCUGGGGCUCUCCUCUGCUUUCCACUCCCUCACCAGAUGUUCUCUGGGUCAUUCCUGUCCCAUGCUGGUUCCCUCUGCUCUCCUCCAGUCUCGGAGGAAAUCCUGCCUGGCCGUCAAGGCCAGCUCCGGCUGCUGAGGCCAUCGGCUGAUGAAGCAUGCUUUCCGAACUCCUUAAGUUUUUCCGGAUAACGCCUGUCUCAUGCCAGGUGGUCCUGGUAGGGCUGACACGGACCAAUCCAGAAUCCUCUCUCCCUGGUCACAGGGAUGGGCCAAGGCAUGGGCUCAGGCAUGGGUGACGGGACCCAACCAGGGUUAACCAGACCCUUCCCUGAGAUUGAUGAGAGAAUCUUGCAAGAGGAAAGUGUUCUUUUUUUGUCAUGUCACCUGGGAUGUUAGGAGUUUGUGACUGCCAUUGGCCAUCUUGCCUGCACUGAAAGAGCACCGUCAUGCAAUAGAAAAUCAUAUACUGUCAGAGCCCUAAGGACAACAUGGCUUGAGCCUCUGGAUCCAGCUAUUCCUGAAGCAGAAUACCCCUGGAUUU